rnacentral:rRNA from 1 species
GACGAACGCUGGCGGCGUGCCUAAUACAUGCAAGUCGAACGCAGUGGGGACGGGUGAGUAAAACGUGGGUAACCUCCCAUCAAAGGGGAGAACACGUGGAAAAAGGUGCUAAACCGAUAUUGAAGGAGGGACCCGCGUUGCAUUAGAUAUGUGGGGAGGUAACGGCUCACCAGGGCCACGAUGAAUAGCCGACCUGAGAGGGGGAGCGGCAACACUGGGACUGAGCCACGGCCCCGACUCCUACGGGAGGCAGCAGUAGGGAAUAUUCGGCAAUGGACGAAAGUCUGACCGAGCCACGCCGCGUGAGUGAAGAAGGUUUUCGGAUCGUAAAACUCUGUUGUUAGAGAAGCGGUAUCUAACCAGAAAGCCACGGCUAACUACGUGCCAGCAGCCGCGGUAAUAC